UACGUAGGGGGCUAGCGUUGUCCGGAAUUAUUGGGCGUAAAGAGCUCGUAGGUGGCGUGUCGCGUCUGCCGUGAAAGCCCAUGGCUUAACUGUGGGUCUGCGGUGGAUACGGGCAGGCUGGAGGCUGGUAGGGGCAAGCGGAAUUCCUGGUGUAGCGGUGAAAUGCGCAGAUAUCAGGAGGAACACCGGUGGCGAAGGCGGCUUGCUGGGCCAGUUCUGACGCUGAGGAGCGAAAGCGUGGGGAGCGAACAGG
rnacentral:rRNA from 1 species